UAAAUGCUCGUUGGGAUCUAAAAGAAUUCAAACACCCUCUUGAGACAUCAGGACUUGGGAGCGGUGAAGGCUUUUGAACUGUUUAUUCUUCAUUCUCGGAAGCUUUACUGGGGAAAUUUUCAUUCUCGUGAGCAAGGACAGCACAUUUGGAAUCAUGGUGCUGAAAAUCAAUCACAUUCCAUCUUUUCUUCAGGACAGCACAUUUGGAAUCUGUAUUUGGGUAAAGCAAAGUGGGGUUGGGAGAGGAUAAGAUAAGUAAUUUACCUGAUGCACUAAUCCAUCACAUUCCAUCUUUUCUUCCAACCAAAUGUGGUACGUCUACCUGCAUUUUAUCCAAAAGAUGGAAGUAUGUUGUCAAUUCUAUCACUAUACUUGAUUUUCGUAACUGGCGAACUCAGACGGCUACAAUGAAGCAAGAAAAAACUGAAACCAAAAGGUUGAUGAAUUUUGUGGACACAGUACUACUUCUUCAUGAAAAGCUUAACAUCCAGAAGUUCUAUCUUGAUUUAGAUGAGCUUUUUGAUAAUGCCCGAUUUAAUAGAUGGAUCAGUACUAUUAUGAAUCGUAAAGUUGAAGAAUUUGGUCUAUCCAGAAAACGAUUAAGUUUCUACUCUGAAUUUCAUCCAUCAUUUUUGAUUUGUGAUUCAUUUUUGAUUUGUGAUUCAUUGACAAUUUUGGAUUUGAAAUUCCAAUAUAUGACUGAUGGCGACAAGUUCACUAUUACAAAUACAGUUUCUUUUCCAAAGCUCAAGAUACUUCGGCUGACAAGUUCACUAUUACAAAUACAGUUUCUUUUCCAAAGCUCAAGAUACUUCGGCUCACGUUGCUUCGUUUUAAUAUCUACCGGAAGACUUUGUCCUUGAUAGCUUUCCAUCACUAGUUGAGGCAGAUGUAGGCUUUUAUAUGUAUGAGGGAUACAAAUACCCCCACGACGAAGUACGAGUAUUUGUCAAGCUUUUGGAAAAGCUUUCAAGUGCAAGGCUCCUUAAAAUAUAUGCCAACUCAUUUGUCCUUGAUUCUAAGAGAGACCGAUAUCCUCAUAACCAAUUUUCCCGCAUUUGACAAUUUGAUCCAUCUGGAAAUUGGUUCACAAUAUGGUUGCUCGAGCUUUGGUACAGAUACUAUUUCAACGGUGAGAAAGUUUUUCAAGUUUCUCCAGCUGUCGCCUAAUCUAGAAUCGAUUAUCUUUCCUCGGGCACUCAUCUCUGACUUCUGAAUAUUGUUUAAAGGAUUUUCUUUUCUUGUUGGAAUUGGUAUUCAGUUCUCUCAUUGCAAAUUGAUGUUACCGUAUUAAGCAAAUUUGAAUCGCA